UCCCCUGCCUGUUUGCAUGCACAGAGAAUUCCAACUGGUUCCUCACAUGUCAUCAAUAUCUGCCUCAUGUGCCACUUCAAUCAAAGGUCAUACAACCCUCUGCCUCUCUAUCUGGUGGAAGGAGACAGCCCAUGGGUUGGUGCUCCUUUCCACGUCCUCAACUCAGUAAACCUGUGCAUUUUGUACUUUUACUUCUCUAUUGCACCAGAAAAUUCUUUCACAAUGGUGCCGUGACUUGGAUGGCAGAGUGAGUGGCUCCUGGGGCCCCUCCCAGUUGGGGCUCCCCUGCCUAAGAACCACCUGUUUUUUCCUCGGGGGGCUGUUUACUUGCUGCCACUAAUCCACAUGCAACAGGACCUUCCUCACUCAUCACAGGCGUGAUCCAGGACAGCUUCCACGUUCCUUGAGGGAGAGCUACAGUCCUGAGGUAAAGUUGUUCUCUCAGCUCAUUUAUAAUUCGGUUAUGGGGACCACUUCCUGUCCCUCGAAAAACACAUCUUUGAGGUGCUUUGGUGCUCUUGGCCUCAAGAAGGCUGUGAAAACCAAAAAGCUGAUCUUUAAUUUAUGUUUUUGUCACAAUGGUGGCAAGUUGGCAGAACCCUUCAUCUUUAGGCCUUUUCACUUUGAGGACGCGUCCUCCUCUCACUCUGUCUUGUGUGAAGGCCCAAAUCCAUCUGGCUCACUCUACCAUACCAAAAACUCUCCACUCUUCCCCACCAGACCCCUCAGAUGAGGCGGGUCUUGUCUUUACAGCUCCUUCCCUGUAUCUCUAAGACCAAAUCCCACAGCCUUCUCAGCCAGAGGUUUCUGUGCCCCCUGCACUGUCCUCUCCCCAUUUCUCACUCCCAGUGGCCUUUAACUCUUCCCUUAGUUUCCCUCCCCAGUUGCAGAUUUCUCAAUCCCUUCCACUUGAGCAAUCUAUUUCAUUAGACAGCUCUUCUUUGUCCCUUACUCCUGUGUCACCAUUUUCCAUGCUGGCUUACCAUACUUGGUCUUGUGUGUUUCAGUCACCUAGCAGGCCACAUGGUUCUCAGCAGCCAUCUUGCUGCAGCUCCCAUGGAGGACAGCCACCGUCUUGUGGCCCUCUGCCACAUGAGAGUGCACCACCAUCUUGCUGUCCCUCAUCAUGGGACCAGCAGCAGCCCUCUAGCUGUGGGUCUCAUGGUAGUCAGUUGCCGUCUUGUGCUUUCCUGUUACACGGUGGCCAGUCACCCAGUAAUUGCCCACAGAUGCUUGCUGGGCAGUUGGCUGCUCGGUGGCCAUCUACACCUCCCAUUCCACAGCCUUCUCAGCCUCAGUCCCUAUUCUUGCUUCAGGAACAGGCUGGUCCCAGGGACUAGAUCAUAUUCAUGUUCUUUUUUUCCCUUACUCACCUAUCUCAGAGUAACCAUAAAUUAGGUUCCUUUUCUGCUAUUCUUAUUUCAAGAGAUCUCUAUUACUUAACUUACAAAAAUAUUCACACUAGUCUACUUAUCAUAGUUCAAAUUGGUCAAAUAUAUUUGAGUGCACUCUGAUUUUGUAAGAUGUUUAUCAGUCUACAUAUCUGUUGUCUGUUUCUUCAGUCUGUUUAUACUGUACAGAUCAUCUGUCCAUGUUUGUCCAUAUGUCUGUUCUGUAAACAGCUGAUCCUUUUUAUUUGAGCUCAACAAUCUUUUUUUCUCUUCUUUUACAUUUUCAGAUCAUUUAAUCCAAGUUUAUUUGGGUUAUAGAUUUAAAAAACAUGCUUCUACCUAGGUUGCCAGCUGGUCAUAAUGAUGCUAAAACUGGUUAAACAAAAUCUCUUGGAGUGAGGAGACAUUAGACAGGACUCCACCUGAUAAACAAGAAAGUGGCCCCCUGGUAACUUUAACCAGCUCUUAUUCAUUAAUUGGAGGCCCCAAUAAUCUCCGUAGCCUAUGGGAGACACCUCAACUAAAGUUCAUAUGACUAAGACAAUUCAUUGUUGCUGAUCUGUGGUAUAGUCACGCCUUCAAAUAUAAAAUUGGGAUUGUUUAUGAUGACAAGUGUUUUCUUUCAGAUCCAGACGCCUGCCUUUUUCUUGUGCUCCAGCCAGGAAAUCCAAGUCAAACCAACAUGAGGUCAUCAGUCAAAUAAUAAUUUUUAAACAAAAAUUUAUGUAAUGUAUAUGUUAUACUUAGACAUGCUUAAAUAUUGAGCAGUACAAACAAUGUCACAAAUUCUUUCAGUGUUCAAAUGUUAAAACACCCAUGGUUAAUAGAAAAUAGUAGUUCCAUUUAAUGUACUGUGUUAAGCUUACUAAAUUUACUACACUGUACUAUUAUCCAUCUUUUCUUCUGGAUGUUCAACAACUAAAAGUAAGAGAUAAUUAUAAAUUCCUAUUACAUUCCUUUUACUGAGAUCCACCAGAUCUUUUCCAGAAAAAGGUUAUAUGAUGCAUUUUGGGGCCAUAAUUAACUAUACUCAAAUGGCCUUAAAUGACACCACAGCUGAUCUCUCUCCUAAAUAAAAAAAGGUAAAAUUAAUAAAACAGGCCAUCCUCCAAAAUCAAAUGACAGUACACAUUCUAACAGCACAGGAGGUACUUAUAUAACUGUAAAACCGAAAUGUGUGUGUGAAAAAUGAAUGACAUGUCAGUUUCUAAAAUUCCCUGGACCUUAUCCUUAUCCUCCUUAUGGGAAACCAUUACUAAAAUUAUAAAUACCCUCUUGAUUCUAUUAUUUGACUCCUGCAAACUUAAUUGAUUUUUGCCUUUGUCUCCUUUGGACUUAAAGCUGUGCACCUACCCAAGAUGAAAAUGCCUGCUGUCUACUGAGGGCCGCUAGUUAAAAGCUCUGCAGAGUAUCCCUGACUGCCAUUCAACAACUUCAACCUCCUUCAGCCUGAAGAAGUCAGAUCGGUCUCUGCCCAUUAUCCCUCAUGGCAGUUUGGGUUACUUCUUCAGAGGAAAAAUGUUACAGGCAUCUAAGUCAGUUAAAAAUAUGAUAGGCAGUCAGACAGGGCAAGGGCCUCAAAGUAGCCAGCACAAAGGACCAGAUGUCUUGUGACUGUGGAGGAGACAGAUACUUCCUGCUGUGGGCCAGAUCCCAUGACAAAAGGCUUAAAUAUUUUUUUUAUGUUUUCAACAACAGAGAUAAAAAUCCAAAGGAAAAACAACAACCUGAUCUUUUAGCAGUCACAUUUGGAGCUCUGAGACAGGUAAACUGAGACAAGGUAGAACUGCCCAAUCCCUCCUGGACCAUACUCCAAGAGCAACAAAAAGGACACUGGACAAGAGAGUGCCUCCUCUGCAAUAUCAAGGGCCAUUGGAAGAGCAACUGUCCUAGUCUCCAGAGAGCGGGUAAACCAUCCUCUAACUCCUUGCCCUCCUAGGGGAUCUCAUCACCACUGCAUUCAUCACUGGCUGAUCUACUUGGACCUGCUGCUGAAGACUGAUGGGGCUCAGGGUCCAUAGCCCCCAUUAAGGUGUCCUCAGAGCCCCAAGUUUCACUGGAGGUCUCAGGAUGCAAGUGUUCACCAGUUGUCCUGGCUGAAACACCUGGCACCAGCUUCUGCGUGGGCAUCAACCAUCAUCCCGUCAACCUUCCUGAACCCCAAUAUGAUGCCCCCUCUCAGCAGGAAUCAGGGUCCAGAGAAGUGAUGGCAGCCACAGAUGGAGGACUAGGACCAACCAGGAAUCCAGCCUGUUCCUGCCCUGAGAUGUCUCCAAGGCUGGCGAUGAAAGACUGCCCCCCGUGGAGUGCCCUGCAGCUGGCCACAUCCGGGACAAGACAGCCAGGAUGUGGGCUUCCAAACGGAAGCAUCAGACAGAAGCCAGGCAGGAAGAAGCAGAAAGGUGUUGACUCUGACCCCAGCUCCACCAAGCAAUGGAACCUCCAGGAGCGUCUUCUCUUCCGUCUGGGCCUCCUCUGCUGGAAGGUGGGGAUGGGAAAGCUGUGUACCGCAGGGCAGGCAUAAGGACAGGAAAGCUCUAGGACCCAGGGGCUCCAGGUCCACUUCCCAGGACAGGCGUCUUCCAUCCCUUUGUCCUGAAACCUUCAGCCUUGUCCUCAGGCAGGUGACAGCGCUUUGCUUUUCAGGGCGUCUGUGUGUGACAAGCCUCCUGCCUCAUGUCCCCAUCUCUUCCCAGGGACCAGGAAAGUUCCCAGAAUUCCCCCUGCAAACUUCCGCUCACACCCAGCCUCCCAGAGCACCACAGGCUCAGGGCCAGCACCAGUCACUGGCGAGGUGACAGGGUCCACGUGGCUGCCCACCAGUGGGGCCCACUCUGGAACACGGGGGCUCUCUGUGGAGGCAAAAAUGGGGCUCCUGGAACAGAGCACUGUGUGGCCCUGUUAUGAAGAAGAGGACUUAUCCGAGCAUGAUCUGGACACUGAGAAGGAGCCACCUGUACUGUUGUUCCAUGAGGAGACAACACUCCAGACAGAGGCUUGGAGGAAGAGCCCGGUACUCACAGCAUACCGGGAGACCGCCCAGUGACAGAAUGGACGGAGUGAGAGGGAGGUGGCACAAUGAUAACAACUAUAUCUUCAAGAACUUAAAAUAUACAGAGAGAAUCAUAAGAUACUAACUGUCCCAGGUCUCGGAGAGGCACGAAGGAGUUAGUGUUAAGAAUUCUGUGUCAUCUGCGAGGAAGACAGCAGUAGGAGUAGAUACCAACCAGCAAAGAUGACAUUUUAACUUAGACAACAUGCUGUCCAGUGUGGGAGCCGUGAGCCCUAUGGGGGUGUUUACAUUCAAUAUAUUUAACACGGGGCUGGGGAUUUAGCUCAGCGGCAUAAGCACCUGCCUUGCAAGCAGGUGGUCGUGAGUUCGAUCCCCGGUAUCGAUAAAAAUGAAAAAGACAAAAAAAAAAAAAAAAAAUAUAUAUAUAUAUAUAUAUAUAUAUAUAUAUAUUUAAUACUUCAAGCCGGGUAUGGUGGUUCACAGCUGUAAUCCCAGCCCUCGGGAGGCUGAGGCAGAAGGAUUGCUGUGAGUUCAAAGCCAGUCUGGGCUACACAGUUCAGGGAAAGCCUGAACUACGCAGUGAGAACCUAUCUCAAAAAACCAAACCAAAACAAACACAAAUGAACAAACAGACACUUCAGUUCCUCAGUUGCACUGGCCAUAUUUCAAAUGUUCAAUAGCCAUAUGUGGGCUGGGUGUAGUGGUCCACGCUUGUAAUUCCAGUACUUGGGAGACUGAGGCAAGAGGGCUGCGACAAGCUCAAGGCCAGCCUGGCCUACACAGUGAAGCCUUGUCUCAGAAAACCAAACCAACCCAAGCCAACCAACCAACAACAAUAAUGACAAAAACCCCAAACACUCCAAACUGACACACAGAUUAGUUUUUGGUGGGUUUAUACUUUUUUAAAAAAUUUUUUAAAGAUAAUAAUAAUAAAACCCAACAAAAAUAAAACAGAAUAAAGCCAAUCAAAACAAAGCAGCAAAACUGGUGCAGAAUUUCAAAGCAGAGUAGGAGAACAACAAUGGCCACCAUAGUGUAACCCGUUAUGAUGGAACAAUUGUCUGUCAAACGAAACCAAACAGAAUAAAACCAAAACAGAACACUGAAUGAAGCAAAACAACGGAAACAAAACAAAACACUGAGAACAACAUUGGAUUUCAAAAACCAGACAGGAGGGCUGGGGAUUUAGCUCAGUGGCAUAAGCACCUGCCUUGCAAGUGUGCGGUCGUGAGUUCGAUCCCUGGUACCGAUAAAAAUGAAAAAGACAAAGAAAACCAAAAACAAGACAGGAGAAAAUCACAGAGUCUGCUGCACUGCACUGUUGCCGCCUCCCACCCCCAGAGAUGCUCAGACCCCGGCCCCAGAGAGAAGCCAGACACAGAGCACUCAGGUGCUUUUUUACCUCAGUUGCUCUCAACUCAGCCUGUCCCCGACCCAGGUAGAAAAUAAAAAUAUUUCCAGAGUGAUAAAAUCACCCAUAUGUUGUUUACAAGUUAAAUGUCUACACCAAAAGGAUUCAGGAAGUAUGAAAAUAAAAGAACAGGAGAAUAUACACUGUAAACACUAACUAGCAGAAAACCAGAGUAACUGUAGUAACCUCAGACAGCCAGGACACAGACAUUACCACAGAGAUAGAUGGUUCUCUGUGAUAUUAGCAAUGCACAAUUCACCAUGAAAUACAGUAAAUUUGCAAGCAUUCUCUCUCUCUUUUUUUUUUUACCGGUACCAGGGAUCAAACUCACAGCCACAUGCUUGCAAGGCAGGCACUUAUGCCGCUGAGCUAAAUCCCCAGCCCUUGGAAGUAUUCUAUAACGCGACCUUUUCUUGUUCGUUUGUUUGUUUUGGCAAAACGGGGGAUUAAACCAGGGCUGCUGUUAACAUUGAGCUACAUCCUGAUAUUUUUAUUUAUUUUAUUAUAUUUGAUACCAGGAAUUGAAUUUGACCUCAUGCUUACCAAGCAGCUGAGACUUUUAUGUACUUACUUAUUUUUAAAUUUUUUGUCUUUUUUUUUGAGACAGGGUCUCACUAUGCAGUUUAGGCUGGCCUUAAGCUUACUUUGUUGCCCAGGCUGCUCUCAAACUUGCAGUAAUUCUCCUGUCUCAGCCUCCUGAGCGCUGGGAUGACAGUUGACACCCAGCUUCCUUAUUUAUUUUUGAGACAAGGUCUCACUAAAUUGCCCAGGUUGGCCUUUAACUUGUGAUCCUCCUGCUUUAGGCCUCUGCUCUCCAGUAGCUGGAAUUCUAAGUGGAAUUCUAAGGUACCACCUUGCCCAGUGUGGCCUUGUAUUUUGUGAAACAAAAAUGCAUAGAAUUAUAAGAGAAAACUGACAUAUCCACCAUCACCAUGGGGAUGCUUUUAAUUAAACAGCCUUAUUAAGCCAAAAUUUUAUAUACCACAGGAAGAUUUUUAAUCCCUAUCUUUCAAAAUCAAUAGAAAAAUCAAGCCAAAAAAUUAUGAAAGAUACAGGUAAGAUUAGCUAAUGACCUAACUGAUAUACAUGGAUCUCUGAAGUUCAAACUACAGAUACUCUUUUCAAAACAUGGAAGAAUGUUCAUAAGUGAAAUAAAUAAAAAUCAUGUUUAUAAAUAUCACUUUGUGUCUCUAGUGUAAAAAGUAAUAAGAGCUGUAGGAGUAUUAAAACCCAAAAUGUGUUAUUGCUAUUAUAAAAAAAGAGAGGAAAAGAAAGUGCUCUAAAGGAUAUAACUGCAUGUAUGUUUAAGUGUGUAGGAUUGAUAACUAUAUGAUUAAGUUUUUGUUGGAUCGUUGAGCAGAACUGUUUGCAGUCUCACUGUCUGAAUGUCCACUUUGUAUGCUUUACUUUUGUAAAUUGAACAACUAUUUCUAAGAGGACAGUAUGUAAUUUAUCAACUAGUGAUUUCUUAAAGUUUAUUUUUUUUGAAAUUCUGUAUUAUUUCUACCCUUUUUCUGUUUUGCUUUUUUUCUCUUUAAAAUUUAAAAAAAAGAAGGUACUAACAGAAAAAAAAACAUGGAAGAAUGUUGGCAAAAAUACGAGCACAUAGGCUCAAUAAAGCAAACACUAGAAAAAUU